GUAUGGGCAUGGUGAGCAAGUGGGAAUGGUGACUAAGCAAGCUGACAUUGGCCUCCUCCCUUCUCCCAAAAGAUUGGGAUCCUCUUGAACUGCCCUGUGGACUCAAGGGAGAGGGUUUGCUGUGUCUCCCAGACUCUGCUUAGGAGGGCUAAAGUGCAGAGUGGAGACUUGGGUACUAGUUAACUUGUCAAGGAAUGAGAAAAGGGAGAGAGCCCUGACAUUUUGCCAACCUCUAAAAGUGAAAGAAGCAGGUUUUUUUUUUUUUUUUUUUUUAACACUUUCAGAUACAUAUCCUGAGUGGCAGAGGUCAGUGUCUGCAACUGAUCCAUGUGGGCUCAGGCUUCUAAUUAUUUCCUGGAUAACCUGUUAUCUAUUAGCAAUCAUGCUGCUUGCCAAAAUAUGCUAAUGUGUCCAGACUUCCUGGUCUGGAUUCUGAGAAGCAAAUUUUAUUGUUUGUCUUUUUUUCUGCCUGAGCUUCACCACUCUGGGCCUGCUUUUUCAGAUAGAAAGAGAAAAACAGAGACAGAGGGAGAGAGGGAAAGAUCUGACAGCACUAAAUCUUCCCUCAGUGAGAAGGGACUGGACUUGAAGCUGGUUCACGGACAUGGCAAAGCGGGUGCACUAUCCAGAAAGAAAUACAUCCCUCCAAUGGAUUUGUGCAAAGUCAAUUUGAAGACCUUCUGGAAAGGAUUCAGUAUUCUAAAUGUCAGUAAGAAAAUAAGUGAUUUCUGGGAGGAGAUAAAAAUCUCAACAUUAGUUGAAAAACAAGAUCAGAAGAGAAAACACUAGUAGAACCUGGACUGGAAUUGGCGUAUUGCACCAAGUUCUUUUCCCCAAGCCUUGGUUGAUACCUAAUUUAAAUCUCCUGGUCUCCUGUGGUCCUAACCAUCUGGAGACCAUGUUUUGAAAGGCAGUGGUGGAAUCAGACCAAGGAAAGGAACUGGAUUUUAGUGCCUCUCGGUUAAGCCACCAGGUUCCAGAUGCUAACAUGAUGUGACCAGACUUCCCUGGAGAGACAACCCCAUCAAUGUGCCUGGCAGCUCUGCUUCCCCAGAGGAAAGAGACAGGCUGGGAGUAUGGAUCGACCUAUCAAUACCCAUGUUCAGCGGGAAAGCAAUUACAGAAGCCAGUCCUUCAACCUUCUGCAUCCCACAAUGAUCUUGGGUCCAUACUCACAGCGGGUUAAAGAGUAGGAAAGCUGUCAGGGGAAGGGUUGGUAUAUGGAGGUCUGGUGGUGGGAACUGUGCGAAGCUGUACCCCUCAUGUCAAUGUUUCCUUUUUUAUAAAUAAAAAGUU